UAACUUACCAAAUUGAGCUGGUGUCGUUCUUUCAAUUUCACCAGACAGUUUUGUAAGUUACCA
rnacentral:pre_miRNA from 1 species